AACGAACGCUGGCGGCAUGCCUAACACAUGCAAGUCGAACGAGACCUUCGGGUCUAGUGGCGCACGGGUGCGUAACGCGUGGGAACCUGCCCUUAGGUUCGGAAUAACUCCCCGAAAGGUGUGCUAAUACCGGAUAAUGUCUUCGGACCAAAGAUUUAUUGCCUUUGGAUGGGCCCGCGUUGGAUUAGCUAGUUGGUAGGGUAAAAGCCUACCAAGGCGACGAUCCAUAGCUGGUCUGAGAGGAUGAUCAGCCACACUGGGACUGAGACACGGCCCAGACUCCUACGGGAGGCAGCAGUGGGGAAUAUUGGACAAUGGGCGAAAGCCUGAUCCAGCAAUGCCGCGUGAGUGAUGAAGGCCUUAGGGUUGUAAAGCUCUUUUACCCGGGAUGAUAAUGACAGUACCGGGAGAAUAAGCACCGGCUAACUCCGUG
rnacentral:rRNA from 1 species